rnacentral:rRNA from 1 species
UGGGGAAUUUUGGACAAUGGGCGAAAGCCUGAUCCAGCAAUGCCGCGUGUGUGAAGAAGGCCUUCGGGUUGUAAAGCACUUUUGUCCGGAAAGAAAUCCUCUGGGUUAAUACCUCGGGGGGAUGACGGUACCGGAAGAAUAAGCGCCGGCUAACUACGUGCCAGCAGCCGCGGUAAUACGUAGGGUGCAAGCGUUAAUCGGAAUUACUGGGCGUAAAGCGUGCGCAGGCGGUUUGCUAAGACCGAUGUGAAAUCCCCGGGCUCAACCUGGGAACUGCAUUGGUGACUGGCAGGCUAGAGUAUGGCAGAGGGGGGUAGAAUUCCACGUGUAGCAGUGAAAUGCGUAGAGAUGUGGAGGAAUACCGAUGGCGAAGGCAGCCCCCUGGGCCAAUACUGACGCUCAUGCACGAAAGCGUGGGGGAGCAAACAGGAUUAGAUACCCUGGUAGUCCAGCGCCCUAAACGAUGUCAACUAGUUGUUGGGGAUUCAUUUCCUUAGUAACGUAGCUAACGCGUGAAGUUGACCGCCUGGGGAGUACGGUCGCAAGAUUAAAA